rnacentral:rRNA from 1 species
GCGGCGAGCGAAGAUGAGUUCAGCACUAAGUCACUUUGUCUUUAUGGCAAAUGUGAGAUGCAGUGUAUGGAAUGUUCAAUUUCUAGUAUGAGAAAUUAACGAUUUAAGUCCUUCUUAAAUGAGGCCAUUUACCCAUAGAGGGUGCCAGGCCCGUAUAACGUUAAUGAUUACUAGAGAACAUUUCCAAAGAGUCGUGUUGCUUGAUAGUGCAGCACUAAGUGGGUGGUAAACUCCAUCUAAAACUAAAUAUAACCAUGAGACCGAUAGUAAACAAGUACCGUGAGGGAAAGUUGAAAAGAACUCUGAAUAGAGAGUUAAAUAGUACGUGAAACUGCUUAGAGGUUAAGCCCGAUGAACCUGAAUAUCCAUUAUGGAAAACUCAUCAUUAUGAUUGUAAUAUGAAUAAUAUUAUAAUAAUGGUGUGCAUUUUUUCCAUAUAAGGACAUUGUAAUCUAUUAACAUAAAUAAUUUAUCAUAAGAUCAGCGACUUAAGUUUAUUCAAAUUAUUUUGCUUGCAAUUUAACAUAGAAUAAAUGUUGUUGAUUGGAUAAAGUGUUGAUAGUUUUAUUAUAUACAGUGCUGGAAUAAUUUAUUAUUCUAUAAUGGCAUGGCAAUCAUGAUUGUUGUGUUUAUUAUAUGCACUUGUAUGAUUAACAAUGCGAAAGAUUCAGGAUACCUUCGGGACCCGUCUUGAAACACGGACCAAGGAGUCUAACAUAUUUGCAAGUUAUUGGGAAUUAAAAACCUAAUAGCGAAAUUAACAUAACUUAUAUAAUGGGAUUAGUUUUUAGUCUUUUUAAGUCUAUUAAUUCAAUCCCGGGGCGUUCUAUCAGUUAUGUAUAAUAAUACUUGUAUUAUUUAUACCUCUAACGUGAGCGUACCUUGAGCAUAUAUGCUGUGACCCGAAAGAUGGUGAACUAUACUUGAUCAGGUUGAAGUCAGGGGAAACCCUGAUGGAAGACCGAAACAGUUCUGACGUGCAAAUCGAUUGUCAGAAUUGAGUAUAGGGGCGAAAGACCAAUCGAACCAUC